GCACUAAGUUCGGCAUCAAUAUGGUGA
rnacentral:piRNA from 2 species